AUGAAGCUAAAGCAGUGGCUUUCAAAAAUUGUUACUGAGACUGGAAUCAUACACAUCAUGGAUAACUUACCAGAAGGGUCAAAGAAAUUUGUCAUGCCACUGAGUGUGUAUCUGUAUCUAAAUCAUUCACGCGUGCAGGUCAUGCUGCCAGUGCUUGAGUGCGCUAAUGUAAACGACCGCGAAGGAGGCAGGCAUUAUUGGGUCUUCAACAUCAACCUGAGGGACGGACAUUUCGAAGUCCUUGAUUCAAACAGGAAGCUAGAAGACAUUGAGUUGAUGAACACCGCCUCUACGAUUGCGGGGGCAGUACGCUAG
rnacentral:rRNA from 1 species